rnacentral:sRNA from 1 species
CCGCCUACUCGUCCAUCCUGAGCUCGCUGGGCGAGAACCCCCAGCGGCAAGGGCUGCUCAAGACGCCCUGGAGGGCGGCCUCGGCCAUGCAGUUCUUCACCAAGGGCUACCAGGAGACCAUCUCAGACGUCCUGAACGAUGCUAUAUUUGACGAAGACCAUGAUGAGAUGGUGAUCGUGAAGGACAUAGACAUGUUUUCCAUGUGUGAGCAUCACUUGGUUCCAUUUGUUGGAAAGGUCCAUAUUGGUUAUCUUCCUAACAAGCAAGUCCUUGGCCUCAGCAAACUUGCGAGGUCUGCAGAACCAUAGCUUCCACGCACCUGAAAGAGCACAGAAUGAAUGACGGUGGAA